CCGGAAUUGCUAGUAAUGGCAGGUCAGCAUACUGCCGUGAAUACGUUCCCGGGCCUUGUACACACCGCCCGUCACACCAUGAGAGUUGGGAAUACCCGAAGCCUGUGAGCUAACAUUUAUGAGGCAGCAGUCGAAGGUAGAAUCAAUGAUUGGGGUGAAGUCGUAACAAGGUAAC
rnacentral:rRNA from 1 species